rnacentral:tRNA from 2 species
CAUUAAGAAGCUAUGUACCAGCGCUAGCCUUUUAAGCUAGAGAACAGAGGGCCACCCACCCCUCCUUAAUGG